rnacentral:lncRNA from 1 species
AAGCUCCUGCCUCGUCCUCUCUCCCUUUCUGGUAGCUGAGGAGCCGCGUAGCCCAUGUGUUCCUGUUGGGUGUCCAUGAAAUGGCUUGUGCAAGUUCCAGUGUCACUUUUAGGAAAGGUUCCUUGGUUUUGCCUGCUGCUGCACUUCUGGUCCAGUACCACACUGGGCACCCCCUCCGGUUGCAUCCAGUGGUCUUCAUCUCUCUCGGACUCCUCCCCUUGAGCCUCCCGGACACUUACAUCACAGCAGACCUGGAUCGCACCUCUCC